GGGGGGUGACGCAAGAGGCUAGGUGCUCCGGGUGAUGGAAAACCCGGUACAAAGGAGUAGGGGGACGGUCCAGGCAAACCCGGACUGUUAUUAACCCUGAGACCUGACGUGGAUCCGCCGUAAUGGUGGAGAAGUCAUUGAGGCCCUAUUGCCGAGAAAAGCCUCUAGGGAGGGUAUGGGGCGCCCGUACCUCAAACCGACACAGGUGGGCUGGCUGAGCAGGCUAAGGCGGACGAGAUAACCCUCACCAAGGAACUCUGCAAGUUGACCCCGUAACUUAGGGAGAAGGGGUGCCGCGGCGGUGAAAUAUAGACAUAUGGAGCUGCUUGCGGUCGCAGAAACCAGGCCCAGGCGACUGUUUAGUAAAAACACAGGACUCUGCUGAAGGCGUGAAGCCGACGUAUAGGGUCUGACACCUGCCCGGUGCUGGAAGGUUAAGGGGAGAGGUUAUUGAUCUUUCGGGAUCGAGAAGCUUUGAACCGAAGCCCCAGUAAACGGCGGCCGUAACUAUAACGGUCCUAAGGUAGCGAAAUUCCUUGUCAGGUAAGUUCUGACCUGCACGAAUGGUGUAACGAUCUGGGCGCUGUCUCGGUGGGGGGCUCGGUGAAAUUGUGGUACCGGUAAAGACGCCGGUUACCCGUGGUGGGACGGAAAGACCCCGUGGAGCUUUACUGUAUCCUGAUAUUGGGUCUCGGUAUGUCAUGUACAGAAUAGGUGGGAGGCGUAGAAGGUGCGGCGUCAGCUGUGCUGGAGCCGUCGUUGGGAUACCACCCUUGAUGUACUGGGGUUCUAACCGCGAGUUCUGGAACGGACCGCGGGACAUUGUCAGGUGGGCAGUUUGACUGGGGCGGUCGCCUCCUAAAGAGUAACGGAGGCGCGCGAAGGUCACCUCGAGGCGAAUGGAAAUCGUCUUUUAGAGUGCAAGGGUAUAAGGUGGCCUUACUGUGAGACCGACGGGUCGAACAGUCUCGAAAGAGGGUCCUAGUGAUCCGGCGGUACCGAGUGGAAGGGCCGUCGCUCAACGGAUAAAAGCUACCCCGGGGAUAACAGGCUGAUCUUGCCCGAGAGUUCCCAUCGACGGCAAGGUUUGGCACCUCGAUGUCGGCUCGUCGCGUCCUGGGGCUGAAGCAGGUCCCAAGGGUUGGUCUGUUCGCCCAUUAAAGCGGUACGUGAGCUGGGUUUAGAACGUCGUGAGACAGUUCGGUCCCUAUCCACCAUGGGCGCAAGUGGUUUGAGGGGAGCUGCUCCUAGUACGAGAGGACCUGAGUGGACGCACCUCUGGUGUACCGGUUGUGCCGCCAGGCGCAUACGCCGGGUAGCUAUGUGCGGAACGGAUAACCGCUGAAAGCAUCUAAGUGGGAAGCCGGCCCCGAGAUGAGACCACUCGCCGCGACUAAAGCGGGUAAGGUAUCACGGAGACUACGUGAUUGAUAGGCCAGAGGUGUAAGGGCUGCGAGGCCUUGAGCUGACUGGUACUAAUUGACCGAGGCCUUAACCUC
rnacentral:rRNA from 1 species